UUGUCCGGAUUUACUGGGUGUAAAGGGUGCGUAGGCGGCUUUGCAAGUCAGAUGUGAAAUCUAUGGGCUCAACCCAUAAACUGCAUUUGAAACUGUAGAGCUUGAGUGAAGUAGAGGCAGGCGGAAUUCCCCGUGUAGCGGUGAAAUGCGUAGAGAUGGGGAGGAACACCAGUGGCGAAGGCGGCCUGCUGGGCUUUAACUGACGCUGAGGCACGAAAGCGUGGGUAGCAAACAGGAUUAGAUACCCUGGUAGUCCACGCUGUAAACGAUGAUUACUAGGUGUGGGGGGUCUGACCCCUUCCGUGCCGGAGUUAACACAAUAAGUAAUCCACCUGGGGAGUACGGCCGCAAGGUUGAAACUCAAAGGAAUUGACGGGGGCCCGCACAAGCAGUGGAGUAUGUGGUUUAA
rnacentral:rRNA from 1 species